rnacentral:lncRNA from 1 species
AGUGUCUGCCUUUGGCUCAGGUCAUGAGGACAUUGCUUUUAUUUAUUUAUUUUCUUUCCAAAUAUAGUGUUUUUGGUGCAGUGAAGAAAGCACUUGCAAAAAAAUGUGUUUUCCAAAUUUCGGGUGUCAAUUCAGUUCUGUAUAUUGGGCAAACUGUAGAGAACUCAAGUCUGUGUUCCUGGAAGACCAGCCACAUUUUAUAUUCAACGUGGCCCUACUGCUGGCAAGUGUUUUCAUUUACUUGAUGGGAUGUCCCAGACCCUCAGUAACCCAAAGAUGAUAGUUUUGCC